rnacentral:rRNA from 1 species
GAUGAACGCUGGCGGCGUGCUUAACACAUGCAAGUCGAACGGAAAGGCCCAACCUUGCUUGGGUACUCGAGUGGCGAACGGGUGAGUAACACGUGGGUGAUCUGCCCUGCACUUCGGGAUAACCCUGGGAAACUGGGUCUAAUACCGGAUAGGAGCUCCUUCUGGAUGGUGUGGUGGAGAGUUUUUCGGUGGGGGAUGAACUAGCGGCCUAUCAGCUUGUUGGUGGGGUAGUGGCCUACCAAGGCGUCGACGGGUAGCCGGCCUGAGAGGGUGUACGGCCACAUUGGGACUGAGAUACGGCCCAGACUCCUACGGGAGGCAGCAGUGGGGAAUAUUGCACAAUGGGCGGAAGCCUGAUGCAGCGACGCCGCGUGGGGGAUGACGGCCUUCGGGUUGUAAACUGCUUUCGCCUGGGACGAAGCGCGAGUGACGGUACCGGGUGAAGAAGCACCGGCUAACUACGUG